CAGGAACAAAGCAAUCUGACCUUUAGGCUCAGGCACGGCAGGGUUUAAAUAGGUUGAUAUCAGCCACUUAUCUGGAAACUAGGAACAGGUGUGCAGCGGUCUAGGAGUAGAAACUCAGACAACAUGACACAAGGAGAGGCAAGAAACCAAAAAAUAUUCAUGGAGUCAAGGGUUAGGUCACUGACUGGGCUGCAGAGGACACGGAUUUGAUUCAAGCCAGGCCCAAGAACACAAUUUUGCAAAUGGCAUGAUGAUAAUUGUGAAUUUACCCUGCUUUCAAAGAUGCCCUUGCGUGAGUAGAAUCCAGAAGUUUUCUUUUUGGAUUUUCAAGUUUUAGAGUUACCAGCAGGAGAGAAGUGAAAGGUUUGCAAAUCCUCUAUACAGACUAGAGUCCCGUUAGAAGUGUAGACGCAAUCAGGAUCAUCAUUGACAGGACAAGCAGGAGUUGUGGUACUUGCCGUCUUAGAAGCUGAAUUAUCCAUUGGUAUAGGAGUCUUUGGUUUCUCUGUGACAGGUUCUAGCAGGACGUCAGGAGCAACAGCCAUAGGAGGGUGAGGAAUGGUCAGAGUGGCCAAGCACUAAAAGGUAACAUGUUGGCAUACAGACCUCAUAGGAUACGAAUGGGUAGUACCCACUCUGAGAACUUGAGGCCUAGAUGGGCAAAUAGGACAAUAAGAAAUUACAUGUUCCCUCUCCCCACAAUAAAAACACAGUCCAUGAACCCUCCUUCUUGCCAUUUCUUGGGGUGACUGUCUAAAUGAGACUAACUCAAUCUCCAGAGGUUUCUCGGUCUCCAAGACAGAUGAAUACGAUAUGGUGUGCAGCGGUCCAGGAGUAGAGACUCAGACAACAGGACACAACGAGAGACAGACAGAAUCCAAAAAGAGAUGCGUGGAGCCAAAGGUAAGCUCCCUGACUGGGAUGCAGAGAACCCAGGUUCAAUCACAACUAAACCCAAGAACAUAAUUUUGCAUAUGGCACGAUGAUGAUCGUGACACAUAUACUAUCCACAGCCUGAACCUUGUAUUCUAUUAUUUUCAUUUUGUUUCCACAAUGUACCAGUGUAUCAUAUUUCCAUACUUACAUCAUUCUGUAUCAUUUACCCAAGAACCAACUACACUGUAUGUAUGUUUUACUUGUUUUGGUGUGGAUAGAGAGGUUACCACACAGGUGUUUAGAGCGUGUUGGUAUUCGGUUGGGCUUUGUAUUUCUUUUUCAUAUACUCGUUACAUACCCAAAUCCGUCCAGGAGAUAUUUAAUGCCUUUAAGGAAAUGUCUGGAUAAGUUGUAUGUAUUGUUGACUGUAUUAAAAAUGUGGAUUAACCAUAUUUUGCCCUCUUUUAUUUACAGGCCUACCGCAUCAUCGGUUCUGGCACACCACAACCGACUUGCUCUUUUAUACUAUUCUACGCUUAUACUUAACCCUUAC